AGUGCAUAGUUAAACUAUGGAACUCCCUGCCACAGAAGGCAGUGAUGGCCACCAGUCUAGAAGGCUUUGAAAGAGGAUCAGAUCAGGCAAAUUCAUGGAGGUCAGAGGCAGUGAAUGCUUAAGAAUUCCAGUUGCUCUUGUGCUCUGGUUGCAGGUUUCCCACAGGCAUCUUGGCAGCCACUGUGAGAACAGGAUGAUGGACUAGAUGGGCCAUUGGCCUGAUCCAGCAGGCUAUUCUUGUGUUCUUAAAUGCAUGGUGUGGAUGGUGCCAAAUGCCUUAGUUUGAAACCACUGAGGAAAGAAGCAGGCAUCUCCUGCCACCUUGUGGGAAAUCAGCCAGUAUACAUCUGCCUGAUUAGCCCAGGAGUCAGCAACCUUUUUCAGCUGUGGGCCAGUCCACCAUCCCUCAGACCAUGUGGUGGGCCGGACUAUAUUUGGGGGUGGGGAGGAAGAAGAACACAUUCCUAUGCCCCACAAAUAACCCAGAGAUGCAUUUUAAAUAAAAGGCAACAUUCUACAGUGGUACCUUGGGUUACAUACGCUAAGGUUACAUAUGCUUCAGGUUACAGACUCUGCUAACCCAGAAAUAUUACCUCGGGUUAAGAACUUUGCUUCAGGAUGAGAACAGAAAUCGUGCGGUGGCAGCGGGAGGCCCCAUUAGCUAAAGUGGUGCUUCUGGUUAAGAACAGCUUCAGAUUAAGAACGGAUCUCCAGAACGAAUUAAGUUCUUAACCCGAGGUACCACUGUACUCAUGUAAAAACACCAGGCAGGCCCCACAAAUAACCCAGAGGUGCAUUUUAAAUAAAAGGACACAUUCUACUCAUGAACAAGGGGCAUCUAGUCCAGUUGCCUGCAAAACAGGAAUCCAAUUCAAGAAUCCCUUGCAAAUGGCCACCCAACCUCUGUGUAUAAAAAACCUCCAAAGAAGGAGAGUCCACUGUUACGCUAUAGAAGCAACGCAGCUGCAAACUGAUAGCUUGAAAACAUCACAUGAUGGGAAUGGUGGGACUGACUGUGGGAAACGGUGGGACAGUCAGUUCACAGGGCAAUGCACCGGAAUUUGCUCAGAGUGUAAUUUGAGACCUUCCUCUUGCGUAUGCACAGGAAGUAUUUGUCACUUGCUGGAAGGAGUUUGAAGUAAACGGACAUGUUUUCUGUAGUGCUGAAAAGUCUAAAUAAAAGCAUGUAAAAUAGAUGUUUCUGUCUAUCUCCUUUCCCUGCUGGGGAGCAGGUGGGAGGGGGUGUGCAUCUCCCACACUGGGAGGUGUCGCCUAUUGAGACCUAGCCUGGAUCCUGCGG